ACCUCUGUCCACGUGGGAGGGGCCGGGGUGAGGCAAGGGCUCACACUGACCUCUCUCAGCGUGGGAGGGGCCGGUGUGAGGCAAGGGGCUCACGCUGACCUCUGUCCGCGUGGGAGGGGCCGGUGUGAGGCAAGGGCUCACACUGACCUCUCUCAGCGUGGGAGGAGCCAGUGUGAGACAGGGGCUCACGCCUCUGGGCAGGGUGCCAGAGGCAUGAGUUGGGCAUCAACAGGCCAUCGUGAGGGAGGAGCUGGGCCGUACGCGGGCUGCUGGGAGGCAGGCAGGGACUUGGCCCCGGGAGGCCGCCGUGGGGGCAAGAGCUGGGCCUGGAGAGGCCCCUGGGAGGCAAGGGCGGGGCCUGCAGAGGCUGUUCUCUAACCAGUGCUAGAACUGUACAGGCCACCAGGAGGCAGGAGGUGGGCCCUCAGAGCUUGGCUGGAGAAAGUUCGGGGCCUACAAAGGCGGUUGGGAGCUGGGCAGGAGUUGAGCCAAAAGAGCUUGCUUACUUGCUGGGAGGCAGGGCCGGGAGAGCCCGACUUCAGGACAACUUGGGCCUGCGGCGGUCGCCGGGAGGCCCAACCUUGGCGUGGAGGAGCCCACCGACCGGAGACCAUUUGGGGCCUGGAGAUGCCAUCGGAGGGCAGGAGCUCAUCCUGGAGAGGCCACCGUGAGGCCUGACCUGGGCCUGGGGAGCUUGGCUUGAGGAAGCUGUGGGCCGACCAAGGCCGCCAGGAGAUGGGUAGGCACUGAGUCCAAAGAGGUUGUUGAGAAGCAGGAAUCGGGCCUGGAGACGCAACCAGGAAGAAGAGCUGGGCCCGGAGAGGAUGCCCGGAGGGUGCAAGUGGGUCUGGAGAGGCCGACUUGAGGAGGUUCUGGGCCCGGAGAGGCCGCCGGAAGGGAAAAACUGGGCCUGGAAAGGCCGUUGUCAGGAAUGAGCCCCAUGGGCCUGAAGAGGCCACUGGCAGGCGGGAGCUGGGCCUGCCGAAGCGGCCGAGAGGCAGGAGCUUUGGACUCGGGAGGCCGCAGUGAGGCAACAGCUAGCUGGGCGUGGAGAGUCCGCUGUGAGGCAGAGGCUGGGCCUGUGCAGGCCUUCGGGAGGCAGGAGGCUGGGCCUUGUCGAGGCCUGCAGAGGCCACCGAAAGUCAAAAGCGGGGCUUGGGAAGGCCGCCGGGAGGCAUGAGCUGGGCUGGGCCGAAAGAGGCCACUGGGAGGCAGGAGGAGCUGGGCCUGGAGAGGCUGCCGAAAGGCAGGAGCUUCGCCUGAGGAUGCCACAGUGAGACACCAUCUGAGUCUGGAGGGUCCACUGUGAGGCAGAGGCUGGCCUGUAGAGUCCAACAGUAGACAGAAGUUGGGCAAAAGGCUGAUUUGAGGAAGUUUUGGGCUUCAAGAGUCAGCCACGAGGCAGGCACUAGGCCUGGAAAUGGCCUCACAGUCAUGAGUUGGGCCUAAAUGGGCCACUGUGAGGGAGGAGCUGUGCCUGUUGAGGCUGCUGGCAGGCAGGCAGAAAUUUGGCCUGGGCAGCUGCCACGAGGCAAGAGCUGGGCCUGGAAAAAGCCCCUGGGAGGCAAGAGCAGGGCCUGCAGAGGCUGUUCUCAAGUCAAAGCUGGGCCUGUUGAUGCCACCGGGAAGCAGAAGGUGGGCCUGGAGAGUUUGACUUGAGGAAGUUUUGGGCCUACAUUGGCCGCCAUGAGCUGGACAGGAACUGGGCCAAAAAAGGCUGUUGUGAGGCAGCAGUUGUGCCUGUAGACCCAGCCAAGAGGAAGAGGUGGGCCUGGAAAAGCCCCCAUGAGGCAGAGGUUGGGCCUGUAGACGCUGACAGGAGGCAGGAGCUGGGCCUGGACAGGUCAACUUGAGAUUUUGGGCCUUCAUAGGCCACCAGGAGGCAGCAGUUGGGACUAGAGAGUCUGACUUGAGUAAGUUUUGGGCCCGGAGAUGACGUCCUGGGACAGGAGUUGGGCGUGGAGAGGCCACCGUGAGGCAUAAGCUGGAUGUAGAGAGGCCAGUGUGAGGCAAGACCUGGGCCUGUCUAGGCUGCUGGGAGACAGGCAGGAAUCUGGCCAGGGAAGGUUGCCAUGAGACAAAAGUUGGGCCUGGAAAGGCCCUUGUGAAGCAUGAGCUUGGCCUAAAGAGGCCACUGGGUGGCAGGAGCUGGGUGUGUAGAAGCUGCUGAAAGGUUGGGAGCUUGGCUUGGGGGGUCCACAGUGAGGUAGAUGCUGGGCGUGAAGAAUCUGCUGUGAGGCAGACGUUGGGACUGUAGAGGCUGACGGGAGGCAGAGGCUGGGCCUGGAGGGGCCACCAAGAUGCAUGAGCUGGGCCUGGUGAGGUCGACUUGAGAAAGUUCAGGGCCUGGAGAGAAGGCUGGGAGGCAGGAGCUGGGUCUA
rnacentral:lncRNA from 1 species